rnacentral:rRNA from 1 species
AGAUUGAACGCUGGCGGCAGGCCUAACACAUGCAAGUCGAGCGGUAGNGAGGUGCUUGCAUCUCUUGAGAGCGGCGGACGGGUGAGUAAUGCCUAGGAAUCUGCCUGGUGGUGGGGGAUAACGUUCGGAAACGGACGCUAAUACCGCAUACGUCCUACGGGAGAAAGCGGGGGAUCUUCGGACCUCGUGCCAUUAGAUGAGCCUAGGUCGGAUUAGCUAGUUGGUGAGGUAAUGGCUCACCAAGGCGACGAUCCGUAACUGGUCUGAGAGGAUGAUCAGUCACACUGGAACUGAGACACGGUCCAGACUCCUACGGGAGGCAGCAGUGGGGAAUAUUGGACAAUGGGCGAAAGCCUGAUCCAGCCAUGCCGCGUGUGUGAAGAAGGUCUUCGGAUUGUAAAGCACUUUAAGUUGGGAGGAAGGGUAGUAACCUAAUACGUUGCUACUUUGACGUUACCGACAGAAUAAGCACCGGCUAACUACGUG